rnacentral:rRNA from 1 species
GACGAACGCUGGCGGCGCGCUUAACACAUGCAAGUCGAGCGAAGCGGCGGACGGGUGAGUAACACGUGAGUAACCUGCCUUAGACAUUGGGAUAGCCUCGGGAAACCGGGAUUCAUACCAAAUGGUCUAAGAUGGACUCGCGUCCCUUGAGCUAGUUGGUGGGGUCACGGCCCACCACGGGGACGAGGGGUAGCCGGCCGGUGAGGGGGGACGGCCACAUUGGAACUGAGAAACUGUCCAAACUCUACGGGAGGCAGCAGUGGGGAAUAUUGCACAAUGGAGGGAGCUCUGAUGCAGCGACGCCGCGUGAACGAAGAAGGCUUUCGAGUCGUAAAGUUCUUUUAUAUGGGAAGCGGUACCAUAAGAAAAAGCCCCGGCUAACUACGUGCCAGCAGCCGCGGUAAUAC